rnacentral:rRNA from 1 species
CAGUCGCCGCGGUAAUACGAAGGGGGCUAGCGUUGCUCGGAAUUACUGGGCGUAAAGGGAGCGUAGGCGGAUCGUUAAGUUGGGGGUGAAAGCCCGGGGCUCAACCUCGGAACUGCCUUCAAUACUGGCGAUCUUGAGUAUGAGAGAGGUGUGUGGAACUCCGAGUGUAGAGGUGAAAUUCGUAGAUAUUCGGAAGAACACCAGUGGCGAAGGCGACACACUGGCUCAUUACUGACGCUGAGGCUCGAAAGCGUGGGGAGCAAACAGGAUUAGAUACCCCCGUAGUCCCUGUCUCUUAUAC